GGUGUCUUAGCUCAGCGGUAGAGCAGUGGCUCGAUAAGCCAUUGGUCGUUGGUUCGAUUCCAACAGGCACUACCA
rnacentral:tRNA from 1 species